GCCCGCUUAGCUCAGUGGUCAGAGCGUGUCGCCAGCACCGUCUCCUAAGAAAUACCUUUAGAACAGCGUCCGGUUGGUGGCAAGGUCAUCAGUUCGAACCUGAUAGUGGGUA